GAUGAAGAACGCAGCGAAAUGCGAUAAGUAGUGUGAAUUGCAGAAUUCAGUGAAUCAUCGAAUCUUUGAACGCACCUUGCGCCCUUUGGCUAUUCUGAAGGGCAUGCCUGUUUGAGUAUCGUGAACACCUCAACUCUCAUGGUCUGCCAUGAUGAGCUUGGACUUUGGGGGUCUUGCUGGCCUACUGUCAGCUCCUCUCAAAUGAAUCAGCUUACCAGUGUUUGGUGGCACCACAGGUGUGAUAACUAUCUACGCUUGUGGUUUUCUGCCAGGUAACCUCCAGUGAUGGAGGUUCGCUGGAGCUCACAAAUGUCUCUCCUCAGCGAGGACAGCUUUUUGAACGUUUGAUCUCAAAUCAGGUAGGACUACCCGCUGAACUUAAGCAUAUCAAUAAGCGGAGGA
rnacentral:misc_RNA from 1 species